UACGUAGGGUGCGAGCGUUGUCCGGAAUUAUUGGGCGUAAAGAGCUUGUAGGCGGUUUGUCGCGUCUGCCGUGAAAACUCAGGGCUUAACUCUGGGCGUGCGGUGGGUACGGGCAGGCUAGAGUGUGGUAGGGGAGACUGGAAUUCCUGGUGUAGCGGUGAAAUGCGCAGAUAUCAGGAGGAACACCGAUGGCGAAGGCAGGUCUCUGGGCCAUAACUGACGCUGAGAAGCGAAAGCAUGGGGAGCGAACAGG
rnacentral:rRNA from 1 species